rnacentral:rRNA from 1 species
UACGGGGGGGGCAAGCGUUGUUCGGAAUUACUGGGCGUAAAGCGUGCGCAGGCGGUUCGUUGUGUCUGAUGUGAAAGCCCCGGGCUUAACCUGGGAAUGGCAUUGGAAACUGGCGAGCUGGAGUGUGGCAGAGGGGGGUGGAAUUCCGCGUGUAGCAGUGAAAUGCGUAGAGAUGCGGAGGAACACCGAUGGCGAAGGCAGCCCCCUGGGCUGACACUGACGCUCAGGCACGAAAGCGUGGGGAGCAAACAGG